AAAAAAAACACUAAGUCAUGUGAUUAAUGUUAUUAUUCUGAGAAUAAGUACAUCAAGCAAUUUCUAAAGUCCCAAAAAUCUACAAAAUUCUUCAGUGAGAAAAUAUAAAAAACUACUUUAGUUACAAACCUUACUUUACACAAAAAAAGGGCAAAAUGUUGAAAGCAUCCAACGAAUUCCGACCGUACUACAUCCUAAUACGUAAGGAGGAGGAGAAAGGGGACGCGUUCGCCCGCAUCAACAUGGAGCUCAAGAGCACUGCUGUCCCGGAGGCCCUCCUUUACAACCCCUUCGUGAAGAAGACUGUGUCCACGCAGACUUAUCCCAGCACCCUGGUGCCAGCCGCGCCUAGGAAGGCCUGCUGCUUCUAUUGCUCGUAGGGGCUUUAUGCCAACUAUGCCAGCCACCGCCUUGGUGAAGACCCGCCCACACUCCAUGAUCCUCCCCGCCUGGCUGUUCCCUCUCGCAGGCCAGUUCUUCAAGAUCUACUCCGGAGGAGGAAUCUGCCUCAAACUGUGCCUCCGCGCAAGAGCUCCAAGGAACCUCUACCUCUAUACGCGACACGUGUACAGAGUUUUAGCCAUCUACUUCCCGGUCUAUCUGAUAAAUGAGGUGGAGAAGUGUGAGAUGUAUUGCGGGCUGAAUAAGUGCAAGUGUGAGGGCGUCAGGAGGUCGGGUACUAGGUAGUCAACGGUUUCCUUAGUCUUCGAUGGUUUCCGAUUCAAAAAUAUACUUACUAUUUUCUUUAUAUUAAAUCUACCAACGAUUAAUAAAAUUAAUUGAAGCAUA